rnacentral:rRNA from 1 species
ACUCCUCGGGGGGGCAGCAGUGGGGAUUUUUGGACAAUGGGCGCAAGCCUGAUCCAGCAAUACCGCGUGUGUGAAGAAGGCCUGAGGGUUGUAAAGCACUUUUAAUCGGGAGGAAAACCUGUCGGCCAAUACCCGGCAGUUUGACAUUACCGAUAGAAAAAGCACCGGCUAACUCCGUGCCAGCAGCCGCGGUAAUACGGAGGGGGCAAGCGUUAUUCGGAAUUACUGGGCGUAAAGCGUGCGUAGGCGGCUGUUUAAGUCAGAUGUGAAAGCCCCGGGCUCAACCUGGGAACUGCAUUUGAUACUGGGCAGCUAGAGUUCAGUAGAGGGGAGGGGAAUUUCAGGUGUAGCGGUGAAAUGCGUAGAUAUCUGAAGGAACACCAGUGGCGAAGGCGCCUCUCUGGACUCAAACUGACGCUGAGGCACGAAAGCGUGGGUAGCAAACAGGAUUAGAUACCCUGGUAGUCCACGCCGUAAACGAUGUCUACUAGCCUUUGUGGUAUUCAUACGAUUAGUGGCGCAGCUAACGCGAUAAGUGACCGCUGGGAGAAGCCGGGCGCAAGGUUAAACUUCUAGGGUUUU